GUUUUAAGCUUGGAUUGAGACGUUUGGAUCUCAUCAUCUCAAGGGAAAUACCAAAGCAAAUAAUAUAAUGAGAGAUGAGAUGACAAUUUUCAUCAUCUUCUAUACCUUACAGAUGAGGAUAAUGUUGAGCAUCAUCAUCAUCAUCAUUUUCAUCAUGAGCAACAAAGAUUAGAAUCAUAUAGAUGAACAAAAAUAAUAUUCAUUCUAUACCAAAUAUUAUUUUACCAAGCAACAUUUAUUUCAAUAAAUUGCGUUCAUCUUUGAUAAAAUAAUCAUUAAUAUCAUUAUUAUCAUUGUUACAGGUAAACAAUACAUUUUUUUCCUGUUUAUAUUUCACAUUACAAUUGUUUGAUAAUCAAAUUGGUUAUCAAAGAAACAUGUUUACUCUUUCAUCUUGACUAACUUGUUACGUUUAAUGAUCCUUAGCUGUAUGAGUAAGUUAUUACAAUGUAUUAGACGGUAAUCAUAGGAGUAAAAAGGUGAAACCAGAAUUUAUAUAAAUUUAAAUUCUAACUCUUUCCAUGAUUCAUUGUGAAAAGGAUGAUCAUCAUGUUGUUGUUAUUACCUUUAACUCGUUAAAUGUAUCAAAAUACAUUAGGAUGUUGCCAGGGUAAAGAAGAGAGCGAAACAGUUACAUUGAGAAUCUUUUUUUUCUUGUUGUCUUUCUAUUUGUUUGUAAACAUUGAAGAAGGAAGAAUAUAAAACUUGAAUUGAAACUGAAAUAAGGAAUCAGAUGAAAAUGCAUUAUUAGAUUGAAAAAAAGCAUCUAAAGGUAACCAAAGAAAGUAGGGAAAAAAGCUUCAAACCAAAUUUACUCGUUGAUUAUAUGAAAACAUUUCUAAAGCAAAUUCAGUGAUUGCUCUGGCAAAAAAAGAGGAAGAAAAUGAUGAUCAUUUUCAUCAUGUUCAUGGAAACAAAAAAAGGUAUAAAAACAUUGAGUAUUUAUAACCUAUAGCUAUGAAAUAAAACCCUAUAAAAGGUUAUUCUGUUGUGCUCAUGAUGAUAAUGAUGAGAUUGAUAAGAUGAGUUUUCUGUCUCUUUCUUUCCUCUGUUCAUCUUCUGUUUUUUCCUUCUCUUCAUCAAUCGAUAAUAGUCACUGUGUAACAAUCAAUAGGAGAAAAGAAAACAGAUUGGAAUCUUGCAGAAUUCAUUCUUUCUGAAUGAAGUAGAUAAAAAUUCUGAAGCCCAAAUGAAUAAAGUAAACUUAAUUCCAGCCAACAAUUUCCUGAACUUGAACAUUAUUCCGAGUUUCUUUUGGUACAAUUAUGAAUCUUGAUUUGGACCCAAGAUGACAAAAUUUCAAUCAACUGCAGUUGCAAUUAAAACUUGUUACACUCAUUUUUUGCUGCUCCCCAUGGGUAACAUUACCAUGAUUUGUUGAUGAUAAUGUUAAAUGUCAUAAUGACAAUUGGAAACUCUUUGAAUUACUUGUCGACUAUUUCACCAUUUGGGAGUUGAACUUUUAAUUAUUAUCAUUAUUACAAGUGUGGAAUGAUUAAAAAUUUAAAGCAUCAUCAAAAAAAAGACUUUCUUACUGGCAUGAUAAAGAUGAGGCGGAAGAAGAUGACAAAGAUGAAAAGAAGACCAUUCAACUUGUUUCCAUGGAGGUUUGAACAACCCAAGCAGCCUUAAUCCAUCACAGAUGCUGAUGAAGAUGGCAAUGUUGAUGAUGAUACUGAUGAUGAUGGUGACGAUGAAAGAGUAAAGUGAAAAGGAAGGUCAAAAGAAGAGACUAUAAAUCAAACGAUUGGAAAUGGAAAUGAUGAGAAGAAAAUCUUGGCGAAAAUAAGUUGAGCUUCAAUUGUUUCUUCAAUUAUCUUCUUCUUUCAUUUUCAUUUUUUGACAAAUGAAAUUUUUAACUCUUGCUGAUGUAUUUGUUAUGAUGAUGCCUGUCAUCACUCUCACCAUCAUCAUCAUCUUCAUUAUCCUCAAAUCUUACCUUUUUGUUUUCCUCUUGUCCCUGACGAUUCUCAAUUUUUGAUGAACAUUUUUAAGGCACUAUGAAUCCUAAUAGUUACUUGAGAUUGUGAAAAAUUGAUCUUCAUUUUUUUUCUUUUUCUCCUCUUUUUUAUAUUAUUAUUAUUUUUACCUUUAUAAUGAUGAAUCACGUUUUUAUAUCCACAUCAUCAUCAUCUCAUCAUAACUUUCACCAUUAGAUUUCAUCUUCACCUUCAUCUAUCUUGCUCUAUUAGGUUACCUUCAUCUCAACUUUUAAUAUCACCGUUAUUUUAUUUCUUGCUUAAGCUUUGUAACAUCAUUAUCAGUGAAAAUGAUGAUGAUAGCCAUGAUCAUUAUCUGAAUCUUUCAUGAUCAUUGUUCAUGGGAAUGAGUUGAGUCAAGGAAAGAUAUACCAAUAAGGGAAUGCUUGGAAAAAUCUUCAUUUCAAUGUUUCCAUAAUAUUAAUGGUCAUUAAUUAUUCUGCCUUCUCUGUAUACAUUAAUAUAUUUGUACAUCGUU